GUUCGAAUAGUGUAGUGGUUAUCACGCGUCGUUCACACCGACGAGGUCCCCGGUUCGAUCCCGGGUUCGAACA
rnacentral:tRNA from 1 species